AAAAAACGGAAGGCAUCCAGCUGAACCGGCGGAACCCAGAGGCGGCACCACCGUCGCCGGAAAAGAAUCUGAUGUCAGAUGUGGGUGGACCCAUCCGCAACAGCCGCAGUCAUUACUCGCAUUAUUCUCUUCAGAUGCAGUCGGUAUCCUAAACAGUUCGUGGUCAGCCUGGGUUAUGUGUUACUUGCACUAAUAAGGACAUUAAGAUCAAUACAGCCCGGAGUGGAAGAGUGGUUGAAGGCAAACCUGAAUGGAAGGUGGUGGUGACAAACACUUGCA